GUAAAAGUCGUAACAAGGUUUCCGUAGGUGAACCUGCGGAAGGAUCAUUAGCGAAGCUCGGUAUGCGUGUCUCGGUCUGAUGCUGCCCAGCAAUGGGAUGUGCUCGGCCGGACGCGUGUCCCUUCUCUAUUCCACCCCUUUGUGAACCAAGUGUGCGAGCCGAAGAGAGAUCGGAGGCUCGCAUGCAAACCCUUAACAUACCCCAACGAAGUAUCAGAAUGUACCUUGCGUUAACUCGCACAAAUACAACUUUCAACAACGGAUCUCUUGGCUCUCGCAUCGAUGAAGAACGCAGCGAAAUGCGAUAAGUAAUGUGAAUUGCAGAAUUCAGUGAAUCAUCGAAUCUUUGAACGCACCUUGCGCCCCUUGGCAUUCCGAGGGGCACGCCUGUUUGAGUGUCGUGAACUCCUCCACCCUCUACCUUUUUCGGAAGGCAUUGGGCUGGGAUUUGGGAGCUUGCGGGUCCCUGGCCGAUCCGCUCUCCUUGAAUACAUUAGCGAAGCCCUUGCGGCCUUGGUGUGAUAGUCAUCUACGCCUCGGCUUAGCGAAUACAUGGGAAUCGCUUCCAACCGUCUCGCAAGAGACAAUCACUUCAAACUUGACCUCAAAUCAGGCGGGACUACCCGCUGAACUUAAGC
rnacentral:misc_RNA from 1 species